CUUUGGCCUCGGCUGAAAUUAUCGUCCAACUUGGAUGCUGAAAUUGCUGCUGUGUUGUACUGUGAAUGGAGAAGCUUUGCUGCUGAAUUGAUCAGAGUAAACCAAAUUUCAGCUGUUUUUGCUCUAUUUGGAUGGAUCGGAAUAGCUGUUGAUCUGAAAUUGAAUGAAAUGAAGUAUCUGUCUUUUCAAAACCAUCAAGUGUUGCUGGCUGAGUCGUUGAAGUUGGUCCAGAUUGUUUGCUGCGUAGCUGAAGUAGUAUGACCUUUAACACAGCAAUGGUAGGGAUGAAGCUGUACUUGGCAUUCAACAUUAUUAUAACUGUUGAGUACAACUGCAUUCCCGCUGUUGCUGUGUUCAGAAGAAAGCUGCAAGGGGGGUCUAUCUCAUGUUUCAUAUUAACGUCUUUGUUCUUAUUUUGUCAUCUUGGUAUGGAAUUGAAUAUGGCAACUUUCUAGGCGGUGGAUGCGGGUUCAUUCUCAUUGCGCCUAAUCGAGAUGUUACACGUUUAUAAUGAGAAUAUCUGCUAUCUUGUCUUGUGCUAAUCUUACUAGGUUGUGGAAGUGUGUACCUCGACUGAAAGAUUAUUUCAAGGAAAUUUUGUCUUCUCUGGUACAUGGGUAACUUGGUCAUCUAUUGAGGUAAUGUGUAUUGCCAUAUGCUAAUUAUUAAUCGGAUAUAUUGCCACCA